GAUGAACGCUAGCGGCAGGCUUAAUACAUGCAAGUCGAGGGGUAGCAAGAUUGUAGCAUUACAAUUGUUGACGACCGGCAAACGGGUGGGGAACACGUACACAACCUUCCUACAAGUAGGUAAUAGCCCAGAGGAAUUUGGAUUAAUACCACGUAACAUAGCGAUGUGGCAUCCACUUAUUAUUAUAGCUACGGGCCAUCUUGAUGGGUGUGCGGCUGAUUAGAUAGUUGGCGGGGUAACGGCCCACCAAGUCUACGAUCAGUAGCUGAUGUGAGAGCAUGAUCAGCCACACGGGCACUGAGACACGGGCCCGACUCCUACGGGAGGCAGCAGUAAGGAAUAUUGGUCAAUGGACGCAAGUCUGAACCAGCCAUGCCGCGUGAAGGAUUAAGGUCCUCUGGAUUGUAAACUUCUUUUAUCUGGGACGAAAAAAGGCGAUACUUCGUCACUUGACGGUACCAGAUAAAUAAGCACCGGCUAACUCCGUGCCAGCAGCCGCCGUAACAC
rnacentral:rRNA from 1 species